rnacentral:tRNA from 1 species
GCCUGGGUAGCUCAGUGGGCUGAGCAUCUGACUUCGGCUCAGGUCAUGAUCUCAUGGUUCGUGGGUUCGAGCCCCACAUCAGGCU